GAGUUUGAUCCUGGCUCAGAACGAACGCUGGCGGCAGGCCUAACACAUGCAAGUCGAGCGAGGGAGCAAUCUCUAGCGGCGGACGGGUGAGUAACGCGUGGGAACGUGCCCCUUGGUACGGAAUAGCCCCGGGAAACUGGGAGUAAUACCGUAUGAGCUCUACGGAGGAAAGAUUUAUCGCCAAGGGAUCGGCCCGCGUUGGAUUAGGUAGUUGGUGGGGUAAUGGCCUACCAAGCCGACGAUCCAUAGCUGGUUUGAGAGGAUGAUCAGCCACACUGGGACUGAGACACGGCCCAGACUCCUACGGGAGGCAGCAGUGGGGAAUCUUAGACAAUGGGGGAAACCCUGAUCUAGCCAUGCCGCGUGAUCGAUGAAGGCCUUAGGGUUGUAAAGAUCUUUCAGUGGGGAAGAUAAUGACUGUACCCACAGAAGAAGCCCCGGCUAACUCCGUGCCAGCAGCCGCGGUAAUACGGAGGGGGCUAGCGUUGUUCGGAAUUACUGGGCGUAAAGCGCACGUACGCGGAUCAGAAAGUCA
rnacentral:rRNA from 1 species